CGGACGGGUGAGUAAUGUCUGGGAAACUGCCUGAUGGAGGGGGAUAACUACUGGAAACGGUAGCUAAUACCGCAUAACGUCGCAAGACCAAAGAGGGGGACCUUAGGGCCUCUUGCCAUCGGAUGUGCCCAGAUGGGAUUAGCUAGUAGGUGGGGUAGCGGCUCACCUAGGCGACGAUCCCUAGCUGGUCUGAGAGGAUGACCAGCCACACUGGAACUGAGACACGGUCCAG
rnacentral:rRNA from 1 species